rnacentral:rRNA from 1 species
GAUGAACGCUGGCGGCGUGCCUAAUACAUGCAAGUCGAGCGAACAGACGAGGAGCUUGCUCCUCUGACGUUAGCGGCGGACGGGUGAGUAACACGUGGAUACCCUACCUAUAAGACUGGGAUAACUUCGGGACACCGGAGCUAAUACCGGAUAAUAUAUUGCACCGCAUGGUUCAAUAGUGAAAGACGGUUUUGCUGUCACUUAUCGAUGGAUCCGCGCCGCAUUGGCUAGUUGGUAAGGUAACGGCUUACCAAGGCGACGAUGCGUAGCCGACCUGAGGGGCGGAUCGGCCACACUGGAACUGAGACACGGUCCAGACUCCUACGGUAGGCAGCAGUAGGGAAUCUUCCGCAAUGGUCGAAAGCCUGACGGAGCAACGCCGCGUGAGUGAUGAAGGUCUUCGGAUCGUAAAACUCUGUUAUGAGGGAAGAACAAAUGUGUAAGUAACUAUGCACGUCGUGACGGUACCGAAUCAGAAAGCCACGGCUAACUACGUG